CUGGGUUCUGAUUCUAGAAGAAGGGGAUGCUGGGCAGAUCAGAACAAGUGUCCACCAGAAAGUUCCAUAACUGCGAAAGAUGGAAAUGAGAGUUGAAAGAAUUGAGAGAUGUCACCAAAGCUGGUCCCACGUCCGACUUGUAUCUCAGGGGAAAUGGGAAGAAAGAAUGCUCCCUACUCUCCUGUGGCACAUGCUAUGUCUCUGUCUUCUGAAUCAUUGCUCACAGCUUGUCUGCAAGGUAAAGCAGGGGAUGAAAAGUCAAAGCACCAGAAGCACAGCUGUCCUGCCAGCCCCUAAGUCAGCUCCAAGGGUGAGAAAUAGGAUGCAUUUCAGCCCCGAGGAAUGAACUCCUGGGACGUAUGUCUGUCAGGCAGAGUCUGGAGCACUUCCUAGAAAUCUUGACCUGUCGCCGUCAGUGGGGAAGGCUAAUUAAAGGAAAUAAAAGGCUGGUAGCCAGGAGAUUCCAACGUGCUGAGAAAACAAAGGCAGCCAACCUGCGAACUGCGAAGUCAGCUCUCUGCUUUGCCCCUGCCCCGCUCCCUCCACCACCCACCCAAACGCUCGCUCGUUUCUUCACCGGAUUUCCAGAUUUUGCACUACCAACCUACUCUUUGUUUACCCUGACGGAUCAGCGGAGACAACCUUUGCAUAGGAGGCUAAUGCAGUAACCGAGGCCUCCGAGGCCAGCUCCCUCAACGGCUGGAGCUGUCUCUUCUUCAUCGUGUGUCUGAUGCAGGACCAGGCAGCUGCCCAUGGUGGUUCAGAGUGAGGACAUGGAAAUGCAAAUGAAAACUACCAGACACGUCUAUUCCUUCAUCAGAAUGACUAACACUAAAAAGACUGACCAUAGCAAGUGUUGGUGAGGAUGUGGAAUGACUAAAACACUCAUACGCUUCUGAUGGGAAUGCAAAAUGAUACAGUACAGCACGUGGGAACACACUUUGGCAGUGUAUUAGAAAGUUAAAUGUGCACUUUACCAUAUGACCCAGCCAUCCACUCCUAGGUCCUUUCAAAAGUGAAAUGAAAACAGAUAUCUACACAAAGACU